UUACCUUUCUCGGCCUUUUGGCUAAGAUCAAGUGUAGUAUCUGUUCUUAUCAGUUUAAUAUCUGAUAUGUGAGCCAUCGAUACACACGAUAUUAACUCUAUUUUUUAUGGGAGAAGGCCAUUAAGAUAGCCUGCUAUCUGAACCUUCAUGAGUCGACCAUGCAUUGCACUACUGCACGGGCCUGGCUCAACCCGC
rfam:Brassica rapa chromosome A4, whole genome shotgun sequence.